CUCAGAACGAACGCUGGCGGCAUGCCUAACACAUGCAAGUCGAACGAAGCCUUCGGGCUUAGUGGCGCACGGGUGCGUAACACGUGGGAAUCUGCCCUUCGGUUCGGAAUAACAGUUAGAAGUGACUGCUAAUACCGGAUGAUGACGUAAGUCCAAAGAUUUAUCGCCGAAGGAUGAGCCCGCGUAGGAUUAGGUAGUUGGUAGGGUAAUGGCCUACCAAGCCGACGAUCCUUAGCUGGUCUGAGAGGAUGAUCAGCCACACUGGGACUGAGACACGGCCCAGACUCCUACGGGAGGCAGCAGUGGGGAAUAUUGGACAAUGGGCGAAAGCCUGAUCCAGCAAUGCCGCGUGAGUGAUGAAGGCCUUAGGGUUGUAAAGCUCUUUUACCAGGGAUGAUAAUGACAGUACCUGGAGAAUAAGCUCCGGCUAACUCCGUG
rnacentral:rRNA from 1 species